rnacentral:sRNA from 22 species
CCCAGAGGUAUUGAUUGGUGAUACAUCGAUGUACUCUGUACAUUGAAAUCAUUUGAUUACACCAACCUACGCGGAUGCGUAGGUUUUUUUU